rfam:Ictidomys tridecemlineatus contig009842, whole genome shotgun sequence.
AGGGUUGUGGCUUAGUGGUAGAGCACUUGCCUAGCAUGCAUGAGACACUAGGUUUGAUACCUGGCACCACAU